AGAAAUCCAACACACUGGGGACGAGGUUGUUUCAACUAAAAAUGCAGAUAUAAUUUUCUACUUUCUUUGUUGGUUUUGGGUGAUGUAAUUUGAGUGACAGAGUUUGAUCUAUAAGCUUGUUCCUAUUCGACUACAUUUUUGUUGAUAGCGCAAAAGGCUAACGAGUUUUUUUGUUAGUGCAUGAACUUGGGCAAAACCUCUUAAUUUUGUCAAAGCGCACAGGCGCUAACAAGAAUAUUCGUUAGCUUUUGCGAAAACAGUCAAAUGUAAACGAACCCUUACGUUCAAAGUCAGUUUCAUGACGAUGUUGGAUCA